CGCUCCGAUGGCCCAGGUGUUAGAGCGUCCGCCUCGGAUGCGGAAGGUCGUGGGUUCGAGUCCCGGUCGAGUGA